ensembl:lncRNA
GCUCUCCUUCCAAAGCUGCCUACUCGCUGGAAGGUGAACCCCAACUUCAGCUUGGACCCCUUGGCUCGCCUGUCCAAGGCUGCUUGCACUGGGCUGCACCCGGGCUGCCGCCAUGCCACGGAAUCUCUAGGAGGACCACCUCCCCAUUCUUAUCCCUGGGGGAGGGUCCCCAAGCCCCCGGGCUGGAAAAGAGGGUAAGAAGCAGUGAACAGUCUUCCUUUCAUGACCACCUAGAAAGCCUACCUGGAAGCCAUAGAUUCUUCAGGUGGGGAUCCAUGACCCAAACAAGACUAGAAACCAUCACAGUUGGAGCAUUUAUUCGAGAUGGAAUGAACCCGCUUCAGAAAGAAACAAAGUUUAUUUGAUGAAUAUAAAUAAGGCGAUCAGCACAAAGUACUUCUCAUACACAUGAUAACAAAUUUAUGAACUGUACAUACCUUGUACAUUGUACUUCUACUAGACACGAGGUUACAAUGACUGGCUACUACAU